rnacentral:rRNA from 1 species
UACGAAGGGGGCUAGCGUUGUUCGGAUUUACUGGGCGUAAAGCGCACGUAGGCGGUUUGUUAAGUCAGGGGUGAAAUCCCACAGCUCAACUGUGGAACUGCCUUUGAUACUGGCAAGCUAGAGUCCGGAAGAGGUAAGUGGAACUCCUAGUGUAGAGGUGGAAUUCGUAGAUAUUAGGAAGAACACCAGUGGCGAAGGCGGCUUACUGGCCGGAACUGACGCUGAGGUGACGAAAGCGUGGGGAGCAAACAGG